UACGAAGGGGGCUAGCGUUGUUCGGAAUUACUGGGCGUAAAGCGCGCGCAGGCGGUUCUCCAAGUCAGUGGUGAAAGCCCGGAGCUCAACUCCGGAAUUGCCAUUGAAACUGUAGAACUUGAGGACGAGAGAGGUGAGUGGAAUUCCCAGUGUAGAGGUGAAAUUCGUAGAUAUUGGGAAGAACACCGGUGGCGAAGGCGGCUACCUGGUCCGGUACUGACGCUGAGGUGCGAAAGCGUGGGGAGCAAACAGG
rnacentral:rRNA from 1 species